UCCACACACUAGGGAUUGCCAUGACCCCAUGUGCUGGUGGUACGACCCCAUUUGGGAUUGUUACCCACAGUCUGGGAACCAUUGAUCAAUGGCAUAUGGGCGCCCUCAGCCAAAUAAUCCAGUCUUAGAAAUUCACUGUCCUUGAGGGUCCACCAGAGCCCAUUUCCUCCAGCCUUCAAGACAGGAUGCAAAACAUUUGUUUCAGUGGCUCUACCUUCUAGUUUUGUUGCCUCAUUAAUUUUCUGUUUGAAAACUGUUUUGAAUCGGUCAUGGUGGGUAACCAUUGCUACACAAAUUGAAAUAACAGGAAGUUAACACACGCAGUCUACAGGACCCAUUCCCUGUACCAGUGCAAGCCCCAUAGACUCAUUCCACUCUUGAGAUAGCAGGUCUUUUUCUCAGAGCGUAUGACAACACAAGAAGCCAAUUCAACAUGGAGACUGGGAGAAGAUUGCACAGAAGGCAGAGAUAGAAAAGACUUGGAUCAUCUCCUCCGUCUUCUCACCCAUGAGAGAUUGUUCCCUACCUUGCACAGCCAUUGAUAAGAAGCUGAGUUUCUUUGUGCACAGCCCAGGCUGCUUUCAUUGCCAGGGAGCUUUCUUUGACAAGCUUCUUAGGGCAGAUAGGUGGGCAGUGAACCAGUUACAUUAUGAUCUUCACCUAGUGCUGGAAUCUAGCUCCGAGUUCACCUUUUCGUGUCAGUUUGACCUCCUGGCCUUCACUUGUCUUCAGACUCAAGUGGUGAAUUGGCACAACUCUGAUUGUGGACCAGGCCUCAGACAUCUGCUCUAGCAAACUUCAUAGCCUUUGGUCAUUACUGGAGAAACAACAGAAGCUGUACUACAGACAGGAUGCAAGAAUUCUUACCACCCUGGUUACAGCUUGUAUGUUGUUCUACUGCAGACAGAUAGAGGCUGCCGCCACUCCAGCUGCUACCAUGUAUGAGGAGGACUUGGUACAGUACUCCAAAAAUACCCUUCCAUCAGGCUUAGACAGUUGAUGGCACAUACACCACCAACCACCUACACAAGCACCUCGUGAAACCAGACAUCAGGAUUCUAUCUGAUGUGGCAAAGAAGAGGUUAUGGACCCAGAGGUGCUGAUACAGGUUAAUCCUCAUCCAGUUUGGA